AGUGAAAGCUGAACUCUGGUGCCUGUAUAAAAGGUGUUUGUUCCUUAAACAGCAGAAGCAGACCCAGAGCCCCCUGGCCUCAAGAUGGCUGCGGUCUUUAAAUUGGUGGUUAUUGGGGUGCUAGCGAUUGUCUUUGUCGCUGGUGUGAUCGUUGGCAGGUAUCGGUGUGGCCACAGCUACUACCGUGAAUACCACAGGAGAGACUCUUUGUGAACAAUGAAUAUGCCGGAGCUGCCUGGUCAGGGCAGUGUUCAAUGAGGCCUUAGGCGCCACAGAGCAAAGGCAAAGAUUAUAGAAGCUUCUUUCAUGGGCAAGAAAAGAUAUCCUUUCCUUCCGGGCCUCCCUGACCCCGGUUCUCCCUGUGCUGACGACUGACGGGAAUGUCUCCCCAGCUCUCUGCAUCCUCAGCUUCACUCUCAGCUCAGCCUGGUACAUCACGCUGUUCCUCUAUUCACACCAAGAUGGGAAUUUGAAAUGGAUUUGAACAAACAUGCCCUGCCUAGGGCCUAUGCAUCUGUUGAGGUGGGGGGGGGCGGGCUCUCAUGCCCUGUGCUCCCUGCCUGUGAGCUUGUGAGAGGGAGGAACAAGUGUCUAGACGCCCAGUCUUCACUCUUUUAAUCAUUCUGCCAUUUAAUAAAUGUGUGAGCAUUUGA